GACGAACGCUGGCGGCGUGCUUAACACAUGCAAGUCGAACGGAAAGGCCCUGCUUUUGUGGGGUGCUCGAGUGGCGAACAGGUGAGUAACACGUGAGUGACCUGCCCUUGUCUUUGGGAUACCUUCAGGGAACUGGGGCUAAUACCGGAUAUGAACUCCUGCUGCAUGGUUUUUGUUGGUGAGUUUCGGCGUUUGGGGAUGGACUUGCGGCUUAUCAGCUUGUUGGUGGGGUAGUGGCUUACCAGGGCUUUGACGGGUAGCCGGCUUGAGAGGGUGACCGGCCACAUUGGGACUGAGAUACGGGCCAGAGUGCUACGGGAGGAAGCAGUGGGGAAUAUUGCACAAUGGGCGGCAUCCUGAUGCAGCAACGCCGCGUGCGGGAUGACGGCCUUCGGGUUGGAAACCGCUUUCGCCUGUGACGAAGCGUGAGUGACGGUAAUGGGUAAAGAAGCACCGGCUAACUACGUG
rnacentral:rRNA from 1 species